rnacentral:piRNA from 1 species
UGAAUGGAAAUCCAGAAUGAUGAGGC